GAGGCAAGGCAGGGCAGGAUGGAUAUAGAUCUGUAACAGUUUGGGUCUAGAGGCAGGGCAGGAUGGAUAUAGAUCUGUAACAGUUUGGCUCUAGAGGCAAGGCAGGAUGGAUAUAGGUCUGUAACAGUUUGGGUCUAGAGGCAGGGCAGGGCAGGAUGGAUAUAGGUCUAACAGUUUGGGUCUAGAGGCAGGGCAGGAUGGAUAUAGGUCUGUAACAGUUUGGGUCUAGAGGCAGGGCAGGAUGGAUAUAGGUCUGUAACAGUUUGGGUCUAGAGGCAGGGCAGGGCAGGAUGGAUAUAGGUCUGUAACAGUUUGGGUCUAGAGGCAGGGCAGGAUGGAUAUAGGUCUAACAGUUUGGGUCUAGAGGCAGGGCAGGAUGGAUAUAGGUCUAACAGUUUGGGUCUAGAGGCAGGGCAGGAUGGAUAUAGGUCUGUAACAGUUUGGGUCUAGAGGCAGGGCAGGAUGGAUAUAGGUCUGUAACAGUUUGGGUCUAGAGGCAGGGCAGGAUGGAUAUAGGUCUGUAACAGUUUGGGUCUAGAGACAGGGCAGGAUGGAUAUAGGUCUGUAACAGUUUGGGUCUAGAGGCAGGGCAGGAUGGAUAUAGGUCUAACAGUUUGGGUCUAGAGGCAGGGCAGGAUGGAUAUAGGUCUAACAGUUUGGGUCUAGAGGCAGGGCAGGAUGGAUAUAGGUCUGUAACAGUUUGGGUCUAGAGGCAGGGCAGGAUGGAUAUAGGUCUGUAACAGUUUGGGUCUAGAGGCAGGGCAGGAUGGAUAUAGGUCUAUAACAGUUUGGGUCUAGAGGCAGAGCAGGGCAGGAUGGAUAUACGUCUGUAACAGUUUGGGUCUAGAGGCAGGGCAGGAUGGAUAUAGGUCUGUAACAGUUUGGGUCUAGAGACAGGGCAGGAUGGAUAUAGGUCUGUAACAGUUUGGGUCUAGAGGCAGGGCAGGAUGGAUAUAGGUCUGUAACAGUUUGGGUCUAGAGGCAGGGCAGGAUGGAUAUAGGUCUAUAACAGUUUGGGUCUAGAGGCAGAGCAGGGCAGGAUGGAUAUACGUCUGUAACAGUUUGGGUCUAGAGGCAGGGCAGGAUGGAUAUAGGUCUGUAACAGUUUGGGUCUAGAGGCAGGGCAGGAUGGAUAUAGGUCUGUAACAGUUUGGGUCUAGAGGCAGGGCAGGAUGGAUAUAGGUCUAACAGUUUGGGUCUAGAGGCAGGGCAGGAUGGAUAUAGGUCUGUAACAGUUUGGGUCUAGAGGCAGGGCAGGAUGGAUAUAGGUCUAUAACAGUUUGGGUCUAGAGGCAGGGCAGGAUGGAUAUAGGUCUAUAACAGUUUGGGUCUAGAGGCAGGGCAGGAUGGAUAUAGGUCUGUAACAGUUUGGGUCUAGAGACAGGGCAGGAUGGAUAUAGGUCUAUAACAGUUUGGGUCUAGAGGCAGGGCAGGAUGGAUAUAGGUCUGUAACAGUUUGGGUCUAGAGACAGGGCAGGAUGGAUAUAGGUCUAUAACAGUUUGGGUCUAGAGGCAGGGCAGGAUGGAUAUAGGUCUGUAACAGUUUGGGUCUAGAGGCAGGGCAGGGCAGGAUGGAUAUAGGUCUGUAACAGUUUGGGUCUAGAGACAGGGCAGGAUGGAUAUAGGUCUAUAACAGUUUGGGUCUAGAGGCAGGGCAGGAUGGAUAUAGGUCUGUAACAGUUUGGGUCUAGAGGCAGGGCAGGGCAGGAUGGAUAUAGGUCUGUAACAGUUUGGGUCUAGAGGCAGGGCAGGAUGGAUAUAGGUCUAUAACAGUUUGGGUCUAGAGACAG